AACGAACGCUGGCGGCAUGCCUAACACAUGCAAGUCGAACGAUUGCCUUCGGGUGAUAGUGGCGCACGGGUGCGUAACGCGUGGGAAUCUGCCCUUAGGUUCGGAAUAACAGCUGGAAACGGCUGCUAAUACCGGAUGAUAUCGCGAGAUCAUAGAUUUAUCGCCUGAGGAUGAGCCCGCGUUGGAUUAGGUAGUUGGUGGGGUAAAGGCCUACCAAGCCGACGAUCCAUAGCUGGUCUGAGAGGAUGAUCAGCCACACUGGGACUGAGACACGGCCCAGACUCCUACGGGAGGCAGCAGUGGGGAAUAUUGGACAAUGGGCGCAAGCCUGAUCCAGCAAUGCCGCGUGAGUGAUGAAGGCCCUAGGGUUGUAAAGCUCUUUUACCCGGGAAGAUAAUGACUGUACCGGGAGAAUAAGCCCCGGCUAACUCCGUG
rnacentral:rRNA from 1 species